rnacentral:lncRNA from 1 species
CCAGGCCAAUUGUCUUCUUGCCCUUGUACAAUUUCCUCCCCAUUAAGUGUGGAAUAGACUUAACCAAUUUGUUUCUAAGGAGUAGACUAUAACAAAAAUGACAGGAUGUCACUUCUGAGAUUAGGUUGCAAAAAGACUUUGGUUUCCAUCUUGGUUGCUCUCUCAUUCAGGUCAUUACCUGCCAGAGGUGGCUUCAAAGGUUUGUAAUCUAUGCAGUCAAGACAGAGUCCUGGGCUUAGAAGGACUUUGCACUUCGUUUAAUGCUUUGCUGUCACUGUCUUGAAAUUCUGAAUAAUUUUUGAACUAAGGGCCCUGUGUUUUUAUUUUGUAUUGGGCCCAACACAUAUAGUUGGUCCUGCCAGCUGCCAUGUUGUGAAUAUGGAGAAGCCAGAAUGGGGAGGAACUCAGGCCUGCCAACAGCUGCAUGAGUGAGCCUGGAAGCAGAUCCUCCAGCCUCAGUAGACCCUUGAGAUAACUGCAAUCUCACGAGAGACCUCGAACCAGAGUGCUGUGCUAGAGUUGGAUUUCAGCCACAGCUUGUUCAUGUUCUUGACCUCUUUUGUGCUAUCCACAACCUGCCCGAUCACAAGCUUCAACCCUGCCUGUUGAGCCUCAGAAAAAUAGAGAAAUGGAGCACAAGUAAUUGUUUACCCUGGGCACGUGGACAAGGUCUGAUACAUUGUCUUUGGAUGAACAGGCUUCAUAUCUUCCUUACCUUGGGGAACUUGCACAAGGCCAACACUUAUACCAGCAAGUGAAGACAAUCUCUUCAACUAAUUGUCCUGGGAAAACAGAAUAUCUACAUGUAAAAGAAUAAAGCUGGACCUUUACCUUACACUAUAUACAAACAUUAAUUCAAAAAGGAUCAAAGACCUAAAUUUAAAAGCUAAAACUAUAAAAUUCAUAGAAGGAAACAUAGAUGAAAAUAUGCAUGAUCUUGGCCCAGAGCGGUGGCUCAUGCCUGUAAUCCCAGCACUUUGUGAGGCCAAAGCAAGCGGAUCACUUGAGGUCAGGAAUUUGAGACCAGCCUGACCAAUUUGAUGAAACCCCGUCUCUACUAAAAAUGCAAAAAUUAGCUGGGUGUGGUGGCGCACACCUGUAAUCCCAGAUACUCGGGAGAUGAGGCAGGAGAAUCGCUUGAACUUGGGAGGUGGAGGUUGCAGUGAGCGGAGAUUGUGCCACUGCAUGGUAGCCUGGGUGACAGUGAGACUUUGCCUCAAAAAGAAAGAAAGAAGGAAAGAAGAAUGGAAGGAAGGAAGGAGAAAAGAAAAGAAAAGAAAAGAUGCAUGAUCUUGUAUGAUCUUGAAUUUGACAAGUUUCUUAAAUAUGGCACCAAAAGUCCAGGCAACAAAAGAAAAUACAGAUAAAUUGGAUUUCAUCAAAAUUAAAAACUCUUCUACAUCAGGUGCGGUGGCUCACGUCUGUAAUCCCAGCACUUUGGGAGGCCGAG